CCACACUGGAACUGAACACGGUCCAGACUCCUACGGGAGGCAGCAGUGGGGAAUUUUGGACAAUGGGCGCAAGCCUGAUCCAGCAAUGCCGCGUGCAGGAUGAAGGCCUUCGGGUUGUAAACUGCUUUUGUACGGAACGAAACGGCUCUUUCUAAUAAAGAGGGCUAAUGACGGUACCGUAAGAAUAAGCACCGGCUAACUACGUGCCAGCAGCCGCGGUAAUACGUAGGGUGCGAGCGUUAAUCGGAAUUACUGGGCGUAAAGCGUGCGCAGGCGGUGAUGUAAGACAGAUGUGAAAUCCCCGGGCUCAACCUGGGACCUGCAUUUGUGACUGCAUCGCUAGAGUACGGUAGAGGGGGAUGGAAUUCCGCGUGUAGCAGUGAAAUGCGUAGAUAUGCGGAGGAACACCGAUGGCGAAGGCAAUCCCCUGGACCUGUACUGACGCUCAUGCACGAAAGCGUGGGGAGCAAACAGGAUUAGAUACCCCUGGUAGUCCACGCCCUAAACGAUGUCAACUGGUUGUUGGGUCUUCACUGACUCAGUAACGAAGCUAACGCGUGAAGUUGA
rnacentral:rRNA from 1 species